rnacentral:rRNA from 1 species
CCUACGGGAGGCAGCAGUGGGGAAUAUUGCACAAUGGGGGAAACCCUGAUGCAGCGACGCCGCGUGAAGGAUGAAGUAUUUCGGUAUGUAAACUUCUAUUAGCAGGGAAGAAAAUGACGGUACCUGACUAAGAAGCCCCGGCUAACUACGUGCCAGCAGCGGCGGUAAUACGGAGGGGGCAAGCGUUAUCCGGAUUUACUGGGUGUAAAGGGAGCGUAGGCGGCGUUGCAAGUCAGAAGGGAAAGCCCGGGGCGUAACUCCGGGACUGCUUUUGAAACUGUGUUGCUAGAUUGCAGGAGAGGUAAGUGGAAUUCCUAGGGUAGCGGUGAAAUGCGUAGAUAUUAGGAGGAACACCAAUGGCGAAGGCAGCUUACUGGACUGUAAAUGACGCUGAGGCUCGAAAGCGUGGGGAGCAAACAGGAUUAGAUACCCGUGUAGUC